rnacentral:rRNA from 1 species
UACGUAGGGUGCGAGCGUUAAUCGGAAUUACUGGGCGUAAAGUGUGCGCAGGCGGCCGCGCAAGUCGAGUGUGAAAGCCCCGAGCUUAACUUGGGAAUUGCGCUCGAAACUACGUGGCUGGAGUGUGGCAGAGGAAGGUGGAAUUCCAGGUGUAGCGGUGAAAUGCGUAGAGAUCUGGAGGAACACCGAUGGCGAAGGUAGCCUUCUGGGCCAACACUGACGCUCAUGCACGAAAGCGUGGGGAGCAAACAGG